AUACUAACCUGGCAGGGGAGAUAGCAUGACCACAAAGGUGGUUUUCCCAGGGUGAGGCUUGUCCACUGCACCCCAGGUGUGCUGACCCCUGUGAUCUCCCCAAAUGUGGGAACAUUGAGUGUGUAAUUUGUGAUGGUGGAGGACUGCAUCCAUACCCCCUACA